AGCGAACGCUGGCGGCGUGCCUAACACAUGCAAGUCGAACGGGAAUUCCCGCAAGGGUUAGUACCGUGGCGCACGGGUGCGUAACACGUGAGUAAUCUGCCCUGAAGCCCGGAAUAACUCCCCGAAAGGGGUUCUAAUACCGGAUAAGACCAUGGGGACUUCGGUUCCUGGGGGAAAAGGUGGCCUCUGUACACAAGCUAUCACUUCUGGAUGAGCUCGCGGCCCAUCAGCUAGUUGGCGGGGUAACGGCCCACCAAGGCUACGACGGGUAGCUGGUCGGAGAGGACGAUCAGCCACACUGGAACUGAGACACGGUCCAGACUCCUACGGGAGGCAGCAGUGGGGAAUCUUGCGCAAUGGGCGAAAGCCUGACGCAGCAACGCCGCGUGUGUGAUGAAGGUCUUCGGAUCGUAAAGCACUGUCGGGAGGGACGAAUAAGGGCCGGGUGAACAAUCCGGUCCGACGACGGUACCUCCAGAGGAAGCACCGGCUAACUCUGUGCCAGCCGCCGCCGUAAUAC
rnacentral:rRNA from 1 species